UCUGCCCACGAGUGGGGGACAACCUGGGGAAACUCAGGCUAAUACCGCAUGAGCUCGCAAGAGGAAAGCGGGGGACCUUCGGGCCUCGCGCUGGUGGAAGAGCCUACGUCCGAUUAGCUAGUUGGUGGGGUAAGGGCCCACCAAGGCGACGAUCGGUAGCGGGUCUGAGAGGACGACCCGCCACACUGGGACUGAGACACGGCCCAGACUCCUACGGGAGGCAGCAGUGGGGAAUAUUGGACAAUGGGCGCAAGCCUGGUCCAGCAAUGCCGCGUGGGUGAGGAAGGCCUGCGGGUUGUAAAGCCCUUUAGGCGGGGAGGAACGGCGGCGCGCGAACACCGUGUCGUUCUGACGUUACCCGCGAAAUAAGCACCGGCUAACUCCGUGCCAGCAGCCGCGGUAAUACGGAGGGUGCGAGCGUUAAUCGGAAUUACUGGGCGUAAAGCGUGCGUAGGCGGUGGGGUCAGUCAGCCGUGAAAGCCCUGGGCUUAACCUGGGAACGGCGGUUGAGACGGCCCGACUAGAGUGGGCUAGAGGAUCGUGGAAUUCCGGGUGUAGCGGUGAAAUGCGUAGAGAUCCGGAGGAACACCGAUGGCGAAGGCAGCGGUCUGGGGCCACACUGACGCUGAGGCACGAAAGCGUGGGGAGCAAACAGGAUUGGAUACCCUGGUAGUCCACGCGGUAAACUAUGAGCACUAGACGCCGGGGGGGUGACCUUUCGGUGUCGUAGCUAACGCGCUAAGUGCUCCGCCUGGGGAGUACGGCCGCAAGGUUGAAACUCAAAGGAAUUGACGGGGGCCCGCACAAGCGGUGGAGCAUGUGCUUUAAUUCGAUGCAACGCGAAGAACCUUACCUGGGUUUGACAUGGGAGUGACGGUUCCCGGAGACGGGAGCUUUUCCGCAAGGAACACUCUACACAGGUGCUGCAUGGUUGUCGUCAGCUCGUGUCGUGAGAUGUUAGGUUAAGUCCUGCAACGAGCGCAACCCUCGCCCUUAGUUGCCAUCAGGUCAAGCUGGGAACUCUAAGGGGACCGCCUAGUUUAACUAGGAGGAAGGUGGGGAUGACGUCAAAUCAUCAUGGCCCUUACGUCCAGGGCUAGACACGUGCUACAAUGGCCGGUACAAUGGGAUGCUAGACUGCGAAGUUACGCUAAUCCCACAAAACCGGUCUCAGUUCGGAUUGGAGUCUGCAAUUCGACUCCAUGAAGCUGGAAUCGCUAGUAAUCGUGGAUCAGCAUGCCACGGUGAAUACGUUCCCGGGCCUUGUACACACCGCCCGUCAAGCCAUGAAAGAUGGCAGUACCCGAUGUCGCUUCUUUAACCCGCAAGGGGAGAGUGCGCCUAAGGUAAGGCCAUUGAUUGGGGCUAAGUCGUAACAAGGUA
rnacentral:rRNA from 1 species